rnacentral:misc_RNA from 1 species
UUGAAGAUCAACUAGAUGAUGAUGCAGAAGAUGAUAAUGGAGAUGCACGUGUUGAAGAAAAUGCUGAAGAGGACUAUGAGGACUCAAAAACUGGGGUUAUUCAGAAAGAUCAAUCACCAGAAAUGAAUAGAAGCCGUGUCAAUACAGAGCCUCUAGAAGAUGAUGAAAAACCUACUGCUUCUGUCCAAGAAGACGAAAAAGAGAAGCAUGCUCAACUUCUUGCCCUUCCGCCCCAUGGUUCAGAAGUUUUCAUUGGUGGGCUUCCAAAGGAUGCAUUAGAAGAUGAUUUGAGGGAUCUAUGUGACCCAAUAGGCGAAAUUUUUGAGAUAAGGUUAAUGAAAGACAAGGACUCUGGUGAAAGCAAGGGCUUUGCUUUUGUUGCCUUUAAAUCAAAGGAGAUUGCUCAAAAGGCCAUUGAAGAGCUUCAUAGUAAGGAGCUCAAGGGAAAAACCUUAAGAUGUUCUCUUUCUGAAACCAAGAACAGAUUGUUUAUCGGUAAUGUUCCAAAGAGCUGGACAGAGGAUGAGUUUAGAAAAGUCAUUGAGGAGGUUGGUCCCGGGGUGGAACUCAUUGAGCUGAUAAAGGAUCCUCAAAAUCCAGCCCGUAAUCGUGGUUUUGCUUUUAUAUUGUAUUACAAUAAUGCAUGUGCUGAUUAUUCAAGGCAGAAAAUGUUAAAUGCAAAUUUUAAGCUGGAUGGAAAUACCCCAACUGUCAGCUGGGCUGAUCCAAAGGGCACACCUGAUCAUUCUGCUGCUGCUGCCCAGGUUAAGGCUUUGUAUGUAAAGAACAUACCUGAGAACACUAGUACUGAGCAACUGAAGGAACUAUUCAUGCGCCAUGGGGAAGUAACAAAAGUUGUUAUGCCACCUGGCAAAGCAGGAAAACGAGAUUUUGGGUUCAUUCAUUACGCUGAAAGGUCAAGUGCAUUGAAGGCUGUCAAAGAUAGCGAGAAAUACGAAAUUGACGGUAAUUUUCAGAAAUAUCAAUGUGAACAUGUAGACCAAAUAUAACCUUUUUUUUUUAAUUGAUUUUGAUAACUGUGAAAAUAACCCUGUUUUCAGAUAUCAAGAAUGUGCAUGGAUAAGGAAAUUAUAGAAUUUAACAUUAUGGAUUAAAUUAUAUGGAUAUGUUAUAUGUUAUUAAGCUAGAUAAAUAUUUUCUGUAGAGUGAGUGUGAGUCAAUGGUUAUGAUAAAUUUUCCACAGUUUCAGUAUUAGUUGUUCUUGUUUAUUCUUUCUAAGAGAAAUUAUACCUUACCUCCUUUGGUUAGACCUAUUUAAUUAUCCCAUUUUGACAUUCGACUUUCCUGAGGCUAGCCUUAGAUAUCCUUUUUCUGUGAGUACAAGUGGAUUAUCUUCAGAGAAAAUAUGAAAUAUGAUAUCAGAAAUUGUAAAAUCUAAUAAAUUUGGUAAUACUGUUUGCUGACUUCUGCCUUUGUUGUUCUUGCCGUUGUCAAAUCAUGCAAAAAAUGGUGCUGUUUUUAAGUUUAAAUUUUUACUUCCCUUUAAGUUCAAUGAAGUUGUAAUGCAUAACCCAACCCCACCCACAAAUAGGGGGAAGUGAUCUGUGAUUGGCAGGCAUGUGGGUUGCAUUGGGAAUUCAAGCCUUGCUGCUGGAGAUAAUGCAGUUUGUUUUGUUUUAUCAUUGUU